rnacentral:rRNA from 1 species
CCUACGGGUGGCAGCAGUGGGGAAUAUUGGACAAUGGGGGCAACCCUGAUCCAGCAAUGCCGCGUGAGUGAUGAAGGCCUUAGGGUUGUAAAGCUCUUUUGGCGGGGACGAUGAUGACGGUACCCGCAGAAUAAGCCCCGGCUAACUUCGUGCCAGCAGCCGCGGUAAUACGAAGGGGGCGAGCGUUGUUCGGAAUUACUGGGCGUAAAGGGCGCGUAGGCGGCCUGCCAAGUCAGAUGUGAAAGUCCUGGGCUUAACCUGGGGACUGCAUUUGAUACUGGCGGGCUUGAAUGCAGGAGAGGAUAGCGGAAUUCCCAGUGUAGAGGUGAAAUUCGUAGAUAUUGGGAAGAACACCGGUGGCGAAGGCGGCUAUCUGGACUGUGAUUGACGCUGAGGCGCGAAAGCGUGGGGAGCAAACAGGAUUAGAUACCCCUGUAGUC